rnacentral:rRNA from 1 species
AUGACCAACCCUUGACAUCCUGUGCCACUACCAGAGAUGGUACGUUCCCUUCGGGGACGCAGUGACAGGUGCUGCAUGGCCGUCG